rnacentral:rRNA from 1 species
UACAGAGGGGGCGAGCGUUGUUCGGAAUUACUGGGCGUAAAGGGCGCGUAGGCGGCUUUGCAAGUCGGGUGUGAAAUCCCCAGGCUCAACCUGGGAACUGCAUUCGAGACUGCAUUGCUAGAGUAUGGGAGAGGGAAGUGGAAUUUCCGGUGUAGCGGUGAAAUGCGUAGAUAUCGGAAGGAACAUCAGUGGCGAAAGCGACUUCCUGGACCAAUACUGACGCUGAGGCGCGAAAGCUAGGGGAGCAAACGGG